rnacentral:rRNA from 1 species
CGGCGAGUGAAGCGGCAACAGCUCAAAUUUGAAAUCUGGCGCAAGCCCGAGUUGUAAUUUGUAGAGGAUGCUUCUGGGCAGCGGCCGUUCUAAGUUCCUUGGAACAGGACGUCAUAGAGGGUGAGAAUCCCGUAUGUGACCGGCACGUACCCUCCACGUAGCUCCUUCGACGAGUCGAGUUGUUUGGGAAUGCAGCUCUAAAUGGGAGGUAAAUUUCUUCUAAAGCUAAAUACCGGCCAGAGACCGAUAGCGCACAAGUAGAGUGAUCGAAAGAUGAAAAGCACUUUGGAAAGAGAGUUAAAAAGCACGUGAAAUUGUUGAAAGGGAAGCGCUUACAACCAGACUUCGUGGCGGUGUUCCGCCGGUCUUCUGACCGGUCUACUCGCCGCCGCGAGGCCAGCAUCGUCUGGGGCCGCCGGAUAAGACCUUGGGAAUGUAGCUUGCCUCGGUAAGUGUUAUAGCCCAUGGUGAUGCGGCGUGCCUCGGGCGAGGUCCGCGCUUCGGCAAGGAUGCUGGCGUAAUGGUUGUCAGCGGCCCGUCUUGAAACACGGACCAAGGAGUCUAACAUCUAUGCGAGUGUUCGGGUGUCAAACCCCUACGCGUAAUGAAAGUGAACGGAGGUGGGAAGCGCAAGCUGCACCAUCGACCGAUCCUGAUGUCCUCGGAUGGAUUUGAGUAAGAGCAUAGCUGUUGGGACCCGAAAGAUGGUGAACUAUGCCUGAAUAGGGUGAAGCCAGAGGAAACUCUGGUGGAGGCUCGCAGCGGUUCUGACGUGCAAAUCGAUCGUCAAAUUUGGGUAUAGGGGCGAAAGAC